ACAAAUAGAGGAAGCGCGUCAAGCUAGCAACGCUAAACAAGCGCUGCUUGGGAGGCAACCCAAAGGUUAUUUCAUUCACAAGUAUUUUUCAAUUUAGUACUUUUUAAUAUUUCAAAAACAAUCAUGUAAUAAUGUCAUUUGCUGACAAUCUCCAAAAUAAAAAAUGAAAUAAUUGUUUUCUUGUUUAUUAUUGAGUACAUGUUUAAAGCUAUAGGCAAAGUUCCAGUGCAACGACAGAAACAACUUCUAUGAUGACAGUUCACGCCUUGAAACAAAGAACACUCAGGUGAUUGCUUGAGAAAGCGCAACAGUUCGAGAGAUAGCAAGACGAGUAAGGAAGAUAGAGUCCAUGAGAUAGAUGUUCGACUUUCCAGAUACCGAAGCCAAGUGAGAAUUUGAGCCAAAUAUUUCCAUGGUAUUACCAAUUUCUUUGAAUAUACUUAUGAGAGUAUCCGUGUACUUGCUUAUUUUCUAGAACUUGCGAUAAUUCUCUGCUGACUAAUUAGUUUAACUUAUAUGCAAUGAGGCAUUUUAUUCAUAUAACUCUGAGCCUUUUUCAAACCACCCAAUAUUAUUAUUAUCCAUUGCUAACCACUUUGAGCCUAAAAAUCCUUUUCUUUUGGUGACAAACCAUAUUAUAAGCCUAAGACCUGAAAAACAAUGUGAUGCAAGUAAAGUGAAUACCGUAGAAGUCUUUGAGUGAGGGAUAGACCUCUGUCAAGUCUAUAAAAUGAAGAAAAAAAAUGUUACUAAAUUAAAAAGAUGAAAGAUUNNNNNNNNNNNNNNAAGAAUUGGAGAAAGAAAAAUGAUCAAAGCAUAAACAAAUUUAAAAAAUUUAAUCAUAUUUUUCCUUCGUUGCAUGUAAUGUAACAAACCAAAAAUUGUUUCAUCAAUUUAUGCAUAAAACACCCCCAUGCUUUAAUAUCAAUUUAAAAGUAUUUACUAACACUUAUGAAAUUUUAAGAAACCAUUAAUAAAUUAUUAUUAUUAUUAGUAGUAGUAGUAGUAGUAUUACAUGUCUCUUAAAUACACCGACUAACAAGUUUAUAUCUAUAACUCAUUCAAUUGGUCACUUAAUUUUAAUAUCACUUCAAAAUCUUUAGGAUCAUAUGAGAGUCAUUCUCUUUUUAACAAAACUCUUGCUUCAAUAUGUUGGUUAGGUUAAUAGAGGCUCUUGGACAAAACUAAAAGCUAUGGGAAGAAUUAGAAUUGUUUUCACUAAUAUACUUAAUCCAAGCUUCUACGCAUUCACUUUUAUUAUACUAUGCGUUUGAUCUGCUAUAUAAAAUAACGGGCUAAACACGACAACUCUGUACGGUGUUUAAUUGUAAAACUAUUUCAGGAACUAGACAAACCGAGAAGCACGGCAUAAGACAAAAACAAAAUUUUUUGUCCCUCAUUAAACCACAGUACAACUUUUUGUCUCAAGUACAAGUUGUCUAAAAUACCAAAAUACCAUAUUUUGUUCACCAAACAUCG
rnacentral:lncRNA from 1 species